UACGUAGGGUGCAAGCGUUGUCCGGAAUUAUUGGGCGUAAAGAGCUCGUAGGCGGUUUGUCGCGUCUGCUGUGAAAACUCGGGGCUUAACCCCGGGCCUGCAGUGGGUACGGGCAGACUAGAGUGCGGUAGGGGGAGACUGGAAUUCCUGGUGUAGCGGUGAAAUGCGCAGAUAUCAGGAGGAACACCGGUGGCGAAGGCGGGUCUCUGGGCCGUAACUGACGCUGAGGAGCGAAAGCGUGGGGGAGCGAACAGG
rnacentral:rRNA from 1 species